UACGGGGGGGGCAAGCGUUGUUCGGAAUUACUGGGCGUAAAGGGCUCGUAGGUGGCCAACUAAGUCAGACGUGAAAUCCCUCGGCUUAACCGGGGAACUGCGUCUGAUACUGGAUGGCUAGAGUUUGGGAUAGGGGCGGACGGAACUUCCGGUGGAGCGGUGAAAUGCGUUGAUAUCGGAAGGAACGCCGGUGGCGAAAGCGGUCCGCUGGAUCCCUACUGACGCUGAGGCGCGAAAGCCAGGGGAGCAAACGGG
rnacentral:rRNA from 1 species